CACGGGGGGAGCAAGCGUUGUUCGGAAUCACUGGGCGUAAAGGGCGUGUAGGCGGCCAACUAAGUCCGACGUGAAAUCCCCAGGCUUAACCUGGGAACUGCGUCGGAUACUGGAUGGCUUGAAUUCGGGAGAGGGAUGCAGAAUUCCAGGUGUAGCGGUGAAAUGCGUAGAUAUCUGGAGGAAUACCGGUGGCGAAGGCGGCAUCCUGGACCGACAUUGACGCUGAAGCGCGAAAGCUAGGGGAGCAAACGGG
rnacentral:rRNA from 1 species